CGCCUCUUGAAUUUGAUAAGAGGUCCAGCCUGCCCAGUGACCACAGUUCAACGGCCGCGGUAUCCUAACCGUGCGAAGGUAGCGUAAUCACUUGUUCUUUAAAUGGGGACUAGUAUGAAUGGCAUCACGAGGGUUAUACUGUCUCCUUUUUCCAAUCAGUGAAACUAAUCUCCCCGUGAAGAAGCGGGGAUAAAACCAUAAGACGAGAAGACCCUAUGGAGCUUUAAAUUUCUCUUCAAACGCCGGCUAAUUUAGUAAGGUCGUAGACCCCCCUCCCCCUAACCCUAGCGCCAUGAAGACGACUUUUAGGUUGGGGUGACCGCGGAGUACAAAAAAACCUCCACAUUGAACUAGGCUCCCAAGCCCUGAGCAAAGGGCCACAACCCUAUGCACUAAAAAACUAACAUCCAUUGACCCAAUACCUCUUGAUCAACGAACCAAGUUACCCUAGGGAUAACAGCGCAAUCCACUUCAAGAGUCCAUAUCGACAAGUGGGUUUACGACCUCGAUGUUGGAUCAGGGUAUCCCAGUGGUGCAGCCGCUACUAAUGGUUCGUUUGUUCAACGAUUAAAACCCU
rnacentral:rRNA from 1 species